AGAGGAGAUGGAGAUGACCAGGCAUCAGAGAGUGAUUCAGUUAAACCGAGAAAGAGAGAGAAACGUAGUACAGGCCGAACAGAAAGAGGAGAUGACGAGGCAUCAGAGAGUGAUCCAGUUAAACCGAGAAAGAGAGAGA